AUUGAACGCUGGCGGCAGGCCUAACACAUGCAAGUCGAACGAGUGGCGGACGGGUGAGUAAUGUGUGGGAAACUCGCUUAUGGAGGGGGAUAACUACGGGAAACUGUAGCUAAUACCGCGUACCAUAGGAUGAGCCCACGUGGGAUUAGGUAGUGGGUGAGGUAAAGGCUCACCAAGCCGACGAUCCCUAGCUGGUCUGAGAGGAUGACCGGCCACACUGGAACUGAGACACGGCCCAGACUCCUACGGGAGGCAGCAGUGGGGAAUAUUGCGCAAUGGGGGCAACCUGACGCAGCCAUGCCGCGUGAAUGAAGAAGGCCUUCGGGUUGUAAAGUUCUUUCAGUAGUGAGGCGUUACCUACAGAAGAAGCACCGGCUAACUCCGUGCCAGCAGCCGCGGUAAUUC
rnacentral:rRNA from 1 species